rnacentral:rRNA from 1 species
CCUACGGGAGGCAGCAGUGAGGAAUAUUGGUCAAUGGGCGCGAGUCUGAACCAGCCAAGUCGCGUGAGGGAAGACGGUCCUAUGAGUUGUAAACCUCUUUUGUAGGGGAGCAAAAGACGCCACGCGUGUCGUUCCGAGAGUACCCUAAGAAAAAGCAUCGGCUAACUCCGUGCCAGCAGCCGCGGUAAUACGGAGGGUUCGAGCGUUAAUCGGAAUUACUGGGCGUAAAGGGUGCGCAGGCGGUUGGGUAAGACAGAUGUGAAAUCCCCGAGCUUAACUCGGGAAUGGCAUAUGUGACUGCUCGACUAGAGAGUGUCAGAGGGAGGUGGAAUUCCACGUGUAGCAGUGAAAUGCGUAGAUAUGUGGAAGAACACCGAUGGCGAAGGCAGCCUACUAGGACAUAACUGACGCUCAGGCACGAAAGCGUGGGGAGCAAACAGGAUUAGAUACCCCGGUAGUC